GACGAACGCUGGCGGCGUGCUUAACACAUGCAAGUCGAGCGGUAAGGCCCUUUCGGGGGUACACGAGCGGCGAACGGGUGAGUAACACGUGGGUGACCUGCCCUCAGCUCUGGGAUAAGCCUGGGAAACUGGGUCUAAUACUGGAUAUGACUCCACGGUGCAUGUCGUGGGGUGGAAAGCCUUGUGCGGCUGAGGAUGGGCCCGCGGCCUAUCAGCUUGUUGGUGGGGGAUGGCCUACCAAGGCGACGACGGGUAGCCGGCCUGAGAGGGCGACGGCCACACUGGGACUGAGACACGGCCCAGACUCCUACGGGAGGCAGCAGUGGGGAAUCUUGCGCAAUGGGCGAAAGCCUGACGCAGCGACGCCGCGUGAGGGAUGACGGCCU
rnacentral:rRNA from 1 species